rnacentral:pre_miRNA from 1 species
UGGGCACCUGCUGAGUACCGCCAUGUCUGUUGGCAUCGACAAUCUGCCACCAGGCAUUGCGGUCUCCGCUGAUGCUCUG